rnacentral:lncRNA from 1 species
GGCUCCCUGGGACAGAUGGGGAGGCUGAGGCCCAGAAGGGGGCUGAGACCACCUCCCAAUUUCCCCAGCGAGGUGGCGCCUGAGCCGCGGCCAGGCCCGGCCUCUUUCCACCCGGCCCUGCUGUGCGCGCGGCAGGUGCUGACCUGGCGAGGCCGGACAGGGGACCAGGUCGGGGUGACCGUCACUGACACCUGGACAGUCCUCGUUGCGUUCGGGGUGGGAGGCCCACGGGGAAGAGUGUAUCACAGCCAUUGGGAACUUUCUUCACCCAUCAAAGCCUCAGGGCUGAAGCAUCCUGAACAAGAACUCAGGAGAGUGAAAGAAACAGUUACCUGUCGGCUGCAGCUGGUACCAGCUCCCCACCCUGUACAGAACCCGAAGCGUCCUCUCUCUCCCCAUCACCCAGCACCAGACUCUGCCCCGUGACCUCAGCCUGCACCUGCUUCCUGGCUCCAUCCAGCCUUCCAGCCUCACUAGAUCAUCAUGGGCCAUUGGCCAACACACAGGGCAGUGCCGAGCCCAGGCCGUGGUCACACAUGGCUGGGUUAGUAGCUGAAAACAUUGUUUUUCACUGGCCUCACAGUAAUGGCACCUGCCCCCAUUUUCUGUGAUUGAAUUUUUGGAUCCUGCUACCAGGUUAUGAUAGAUUUUAUGGUAUGUCUCAAGAUGUUGAGAUAAAGGUAAUAAAACAGCUAUAAAGUCCUGGCUCAAGAAGUGUUACAAACCCAAGCUGAGUAAAUACAAUAAAACUGCACCAGGCACAACGUAGUAAAAUUGCUGAAAACCAAAGACGAAUAGAACACUUAAUAGUUGGAGAAAAAAAGUCACAUUACCUUCAAAAGGACACCAAUCACGCUAGCAUCUGACUUCCAAAUAGAAAUAUAAACCCAAACCACAAGGGAAUGUGAUCUUCAAAAUGUUGAAAAAAUUUAAUUGUUAAGUGAAAUAAUUAACUGCCAAUCUAAAUUCUAUUCCUAGUGGAAAUACUCUCCA